UUCAAAAUCCCUCACUUCUUCAAAAUCCAUAUCUUUCCUUCUUCCCCCACACUCCAUUUUCCUUCUUCAAAAUCCCUCCCCUCACUAAUGACGAACGACGCACGACGAAAACCCCAUUCUUCUCAUCUCCACAUCCUUUCUUCUCGACGACGGAGACCCACAGCGAGGAGACUCAUAUCGUUGCCGGUCAGGCUCGGUUUGUUUGAAUGCUAUCAACUAAACAUGGAGUCCUAUCUUUGAGACCUUGUAAAUGUUUUUGGAGAGUUCUUCCAAAAUCUAGUGCUUGUAAAGUAUAGCGAGUAAUUCUUCCUCAUACUUCAUUAUAUGUAUCAAGGUGUGUUGGGCAUAAAACUUUUUAGUGCACAUCAUUGAGCUUUUAAAUCCUUUGCAAAUGUAUGUACCUCUCACUGUGUUAUAGUUUUAUUGCCUCAUAAUGUAAGGGUUGUUGAGAAAGAAGACUUUGAAGAAGCUAUAAAAUUAAAACUAUUUGUGUUAUAGUUUCAACUUGA